rnacentral:rRNA from 1 species
CCCUUAGAUGCUCUGGGCCGCACGCGCGCUACACUGUUCGACGCAGCGAGUCUUAACCUUGACCGAAAGGUUUGGGUAAUCUUCAGCAAAGUCGAACGUGAUGGGGAUCGAUCAUUGCAAUUAUUGAUCGUGAACGAGGAAUUCCUAGUAAGUGCAAGUCAUCAGCUUGCGCUGAUUACGUCCCUGCCCUUUGUACACACCGCCCGUCGCUACUACCGAUUGAAUGGUUUAGUGAGAUCUCUGGAUUGACGCUGGCUAGGGGGCGACCCUUGGCCAGACUGCUCGAGAAACUGCUCAAACUUGAUCAUUUAGAGGAAGUAAAAGUCGUAACA